ACUCCCAUUAAACACAUAUUGGAAGACGCGCUGUCGUGGGAUGAGUGCGACCUUAUUAUUGAGUGACCUCAUUGCAGUGAAUCAUCACUCGGUUUUCAUUUCAUUCGACGCGCCAUAUCCGAAUGGGUGUUU
ensembl:ncRNA F47B7.10 ncRNA